rnacentral:rRNA from 1 species
AGCGAACGCUGGCGGCAGGCCUAACACAUGCAAGUCGAACGGAUCCUUCGGGAUUAGUGGCGGACGGGUGAGUAACACGUGGGAACGUGCCCUUUGGUUCGGAACAACUCAGGGAAACUUGAGCUAAUACCGGAUGUGCCCUUCGGGGGAAAGAUUUAUCGCCAUUGGAGCGGCCCGCGUCUGAUUAGCUAGUUGGUGAGGUAACGGCCCACCAAGGCGACGAUCAGUAGCUGGUCUGAGAGGAUGACCAGCCACACUGGGACUGAGACACGGCCCAGACUCCUACGGGAGGCAGCAGUGGGGAAUCUUGCGCAAUGGGCGAAAGCCUGACGCAGCCAUGCCGCGUGAAUGAUGAAGGUCUUAGGAUUGUAAAAUUCUUUCAGCGGGGACGAUAAUGACGGUACCCGCAGAAGAAGCUCCGGCUAACUUCGUG